AGAAGUGCCCCCCUGCAGACGCCCGGGUGUCCCGUCAGCCUGCUGGGACAGAGGAGGGGACAGAGGAGCUGGCCGUCCCGCCCCGGCCGAGAGGGGAGCGCGGGAAGGAGACUUCCUGGAAGAUUCCUACCCCUCGCUUCAGCCACAGGAGACUCAAACAGGUACCACAGACGGAAAAAAGAGCCAGGGCUCCCUGCGCAAUGCUUUCUGACCUGCCCAUGUGACCUGCAUACUCCCUGCCACCUUCUUUUUGACGUCACCAUCAUCAGAGAGGGGCCCAGGGCAGGUAAGGAGGAAGAGUGAGGACUGCUUUAUCUGUGAGGACAGUGCUAAGUCCCCUUCCAAGAAGCCCCUGCACCCAGCUGGAGGGGACACAGGAGUAAGAGGCGAUGCCAGCAAGCCCUGAACUUCCAACACAGUCCAGGAGGCCUGGGCUGACCCAGCCGUGAAAAGGGGGCAGGCGCUUCAGGUAACUCUGACAGACUCAACCACUGGAGUGCGCUUUCCUGAGUUAAAAAUAAAGAAGCUCCAUCCCUCCGACCCCCUCCCACUGACCGUCCUGCAGUCACGGCUACCGUACCUGCCAGCAGAGCGGGCAGCCGGCCGAGACCCUCCAGGGCCGGCCCCAGUCUGGCCGCCUGCAGCCUCCCAGAGCAAGACGAAUUCCGGGCCUGGGGCCGGCCGCAUUCCUCUCCGGAAUCUUCUCUCCACUUUUUAUGGUGCCUCAAGUUUCGGCAGUUCCUAAAUAAAUACGAUCCAGCUACUCUCUGCCCUGGGGACUGCUGCAGGGUUUACUGGUGCGAACAGCCUGGGCCGGCCUGUUGCUUUGGGAGUUCUUCCAGGUCAGCGUGGAAGGAGAUCUAGACAAGGGAGAGAGACGGCCCGGACGGGGCCAAAUUCCACCAACGGCCCUCACGCUCAGUCAUCCGUCCCCGUCCUGCUGGAGCCGGGAGCUGGCGCUGUACUCCUAAAGGCCCCCAGCUCCCUGUGCAGAGCAAGGGGGGAUCCAAGAGUGUGGGGACUAGAGUCCUUGGGACAGUCUGUCCCAAGGCCCCUGCAUUUAAACUCUCCAGAACACACCAAAACUCCCCCAAAGGCCUGGGGUCUCUCACUUCCUGCUGGAAAUCCCAACAUUCUGCCUGCUCAGUGGCACCCAAUAAAGGCUCACAGGAGGAACAAGGGAUCUGAGGAUCUAGUGUGGAGAUUAACCCAGACCAGCCCUUCCCCAGAGAACUUCUGUGCUGAUGGAGAUGCCACAGUCUCUGUCGUGUUCAAUAUGGCAGCCACGUGUGGCUGACGAGGGCCUACAGCGUGGCCCAUGUUACUGAGGAACUGAGCUUUUAAUCUGUGCUAAAUAAAUGCUUUAAACGUAAA